GCAUUAGUAGCUCAAAGUCAGAGCAUCGGUUUUGUAAGCCGAACGGUGAGGGUUAAAAUCCCCCCUAGUGCU
rnacentral:tRNA from 1 species